rnacentral:rRNA from 1 species
AUUGAACGCUGGCGGCAUGCCUUACACAUGCAAGUCGAACGGCAGCACGGGAGCUUGCUCCUGGUGGCGAGUGGCGAACGGGUGAGUAAUACAUCGGAACGUACCCUGAAGUGGGGGAUAACGUAGCGAAAGUUACGCUAAUACCGCAUAUUCUGUGAGCAGGAAAGAGGGGGAUCGCAAGACCUCUUGCUUUAGGAGCGGCCGAUGUCGGAUUAGCUAGUUGGUGAGGUAAAGGCUCACCAAGGCGACGAUCCGUAGCGGGUCUGAGAGGAUGAUCCGCCACACUGGGACUGAGACACGGCCCAGACUCCUACGGGAGGCAGCAGUGGGGAAUUUUGGACAAUGGGCGCAAGCCUGAUCCAGCCAUGCCGCGUGAGUGAAGAAGGCCUCGGGUUGUAAAGCUCUUUCGGUGGGGUAAGGAAAGUUAGCACAGGAUAAUAACCUUGUGUAGAUGACGGUACCCGCAUAAGAAGCACCGGCUAACUACGUGCCAGCAGCCG